AGAGUUUGAUCAUGGCUCAGGACGAACGCUGGCGGCGUGCUUAACACAUGCAAGUCGAACGGUAAGGCCCCUUCGGGGGUACACGAGUGGCGAACGGGUGAGUAACACGUGAGCAACCUGCCCUUGACUCUGGGAUAACAGUUGGAAACAGCUGCUAAUACCGGAUACGACCUCCGAUGACAUCAUCUGGAGGUGGAAAGCGCUUUAGCGGUCAAGGAUGGGCUCGCGGCCUAUCAGCUUGUUGGUGAGGUAACGGCUCACCAAGGCUUCGACGGGUAGCCGGCCUGAGAGGGCGACCGGCCACACUGGGACUGAGAUACGGCCCAGACUCCUACGGGAGGCAGCAGUGGGGAAUAUUGCACAAUGGGCGCAAGCCUGAUGCAGCAACGCCGCGUGCGGGAUGACGGCCUUCGGGUUGUAAACCGCUUUCAGUUCCGACGAAGCGCAAGUGACGGUAGGAACAGAAGAAGGACCGGCCAACUACGUGCCAGCAGCCGCGGUG
rnacentral:rRNA from 1 species